AUCCCUUCCUCGCCGAUUCUGCUUUCUUCUUCUCCUCUUAUCUCGCCGACUCCUGCUUACCUAUUCUCUUUGUUCUCGUUCGCAACUGCUUUCUCGCUGCUCGUAUCUCACCGGCUUCUCUCCUUGCCGACUUCGUCUGUUGCUCUCUCUCAAAAAAGCAACUACGCCCUCCUCCUUCCUCACUCCGCACUCCGCAACAAGCAAGGAACCUGUAUCAAAUUCAGUGUUAAGGAAGGAGCUAUGGCUGCUAACCCACUUAUGGAACACAUUAAAGCUGCAUUGAUAGUGAACCAAUAGCUUAUCAAGAUGUCAAAUAGAGGGACAAAAGAUAUUGGUUCCAGCAAAGGAAGAUCAAGGGGGAGAGGUCGACAAAGAGAAGAAAAACUUAUGGAGGAAGGUAGACAAAGAGAAGAAAAUCUCAAGGAGAUCGUUCAUAAGAUGAUUCAAGAGGCGGGAUAUACAAAUCAUUUGUAUCCAGGAGGAUCUGGUCCCCGUGAGCGUCGUGAUAAACGAAAUAAAAAUUAGAUUUAAUUAGAUAAUAUGAAUAUUUGGAUGAUGUGAUAUUUUUGGAUUAAACAUUAAUUAUUUCAAAUAUUUUUAAUUUAUUUGAAA